rnacentral:tRNA from 1 species
GGGGGAUUAGCUCAGCUGGGAGAGUACUUGCAUGGCAUGCAAGGGGUCACCGGUUCGAUCCCGGUAUCCUCCACCA